rnacentral:rRNA from 1 species
GAUGAACGCUGGCGGCGUGCUUAACACAUGCAAGUCGAGCGAUGAAGUUUCCUUCGGGAAACGGAUUAGCAGCGGACGGGUGAGUAACACGUGGGUAACCUGCCUCAUAGAGUGGAAUAGCCUUCCGAAAGGAAGAUUAAUACCGCAUAACGUUGAAAGAUGGCAUCAUCAUUCAACCAAAGGAGCAAUCCGCUAUGAGAUGGACCCGCGGCGCAUUAGCUAGUUGGUGGGGUAACGGCCUACCAAGGCGACGAUGCGUAGCUGACCUGAGAGGGUGAUCGGCCACAUGCGGACUGAGACACGGCCCAGACUCCUACGGGAGGCAGCAGUGGGGAAUAUUGGACAAUGGGGGAAACCCUGAUGCAGCAACGCCGCGUGAGUGAUGAAGGUUUUCGGAUCGUAAAGCUCUGUCUUUGGGGAAGAUAAUGACGGUACUCAAGGAGGAAGCCACGGCUAACUACGUGCCAGCCGCCGCGGUAA